rnacentral:rRNA from 1 species
AGCGAACGCUGGCGGCAGGCCUAACACAUGCAAGUCGAACGGCCCUUCGGGGUAGUGGCGGACGGGUGAGUAACGCGUGGGAAUGUGCCCUUUGGUACGGAACAACUGAGGGAAACUUCAGCUAAUACCGUAUGUGCCCUUCGGGGGAAAGAUUUAUCGCCAUUGGAGCAGCCCGCGUUGGAUUAGGUAGUUGGUGGGGUAAAGGCCUACCAAGCCUACGAUCCAUAGCUGGUCUGAGAGGAUGAUCAGCCACAUUGGGACUGAGACACGGCCCAAACUCCUACGGGAGGCAGCAGUGGGGAAUCUUGCGCAAUGGGCGAAAGCCUGACGCAGCCAUGCCGCGUGUAUGAUGAAGGUCUUAGGAUUGUAAAAUACUUUCACCGGGGAAGAUAAUGACGGUACCCGGAGAAGAAGCCCCGGCUAACUUCGUGCCAGCAGCCGCGGU